rnacentral:rRNA from 1 species
GUGCACGCUGGCGGUAGGCCUAGCACAUGCCAGUCGAACGGCAGCACAGUAAGAGCUUGCUCUUACGGGUGGCGAGUGGCGGACGGGUGAGGAAUACAUCGGAAUCUACUUUUUGGUGGGGGAUAACGUAGGGAAACUUACGCUAAUACCGCAUACGACCUACGGGUGAAAGCAGGGGAUCUUCGGACCUUGCGCGAUUGAAUGAGCCGAUGUCGGAUUAGCUAGUUGGCGGGGUAAAGGCCCACCAAGGCGACGAUCCGUAGCUGGUCUGAGAGGAUGAUCAGCCACACUGGAACUGAGACACGGUCCAGACUCCUACGGGAGGCAGCAGUGGGGAAUAUUGGACAAUGGGCGCAAGCCUGAUCCAGCCAUACCGCGUGGGUGAAGAAGGCCUUCGGGUUGUAAAGCCCUUUUGUUGGGAAAGAAAAGCAGCAGGUUAAUACCCCGCUGUUCUGACGGUACCCAAAGAAUAAGCACCGGCUAACUUCGUG